rnacentral:tmRNA from 1 species
GGGGCUGUACCGGUUUCGACGGGGGCGUGGAGGCGUGAAUAGCGGGCGGAGGCGCCGACUCCUAAAACGGCAAACCUUAUAAACUAAAGAACAACGAUUACGCUGUUCCGGUAGCCGCUUAGGCUGCCCGUCCUGACCCGAAGGUCCACGAGCGGGCCAAGGGCGUCGAUUAGUGGAGAACGUGAGCGCGGUAAGCUUUGCCCGCGCCAUGCACAAUGAAGCUACCUGCCCAUAAACGCGUGACGGUUUGCGCUAUGGAAAGGAAAAUGGACGCGAGUCCGCAAUAACCGUCUGCGCCCGGAGAAGUUUGCGUCAAAGCACUUUCGGACGGGGGUUCAACUCCCCCCAGCUCCACCA